AAUCCAUGAUGAUCCUAUCCCGAAUCUGAAUUUCUGUUGAAAAAUCAAAAUUACGGAUCUGGCUUCUGAGAU